GGAGAGAGAGGGUGAAGGGCAGAGAGAGCAAGAUGAACAAGUGAUAUGACAGAAGGAGGAACAUAGAGAGGAGGAUGGAGAAAGAGUGGACAAAGAGAGGGACCUGGAAGAACCAGCCUCACAGAAGCCGUCCUAAUGUAUGACCAUUGUCUAGAGGUCACUGUGGAUGUCCGAGUCAUGUGGAGGUAGCUCGUCAUGCAGAGCGCUGCAUGCUUCAGGGAGUAAUCACAAGCCUCCAGCUUCCCCCAUCAACAUUCUUUGCUGCCCUUAGGCCAACAAACCAGAUUUUUCAUGUCAGCUGGCAUGCACCUUCAACUCAUAAGUAGCUGUUUGACUUUCACAAGUCUCGCAUCAUCCAAGCAUACACACACUCCCAGGCAAGGUUGCCAUAUCCUUGGUCCAUAAUUAUAUGCCAGUUAUAAGUGUCCACUUGCGCAUGCAGAUGGGCUGGGCACCUUAAAAAUCCAGGUAGCAGGUCGAACAUUUCUGCGCUGACUAUUUAUUAUUCCCUAAGGGGGGAGCCCUCACAUCAUAAUAAUAAUUUCAAAUAUUUCCCAUUACUUUUGUUCUCAGCUCCCCUACUCCCUUCCACACACCACAGAGAGGAAAAUUGGAAAUAAUGACAACUUUUUAAUUUAUUUUCCAUGACUUUCUGUGUUGUUGAUUCUGUAUUAAUAAUCCUCUUAUUUCUUUUUAAUAGAUCUUUUAAGUUGACAACCCUAUACGUAAAAAAAAAACAAUCGAAUAAAAAAGUAAAAUUGUUAAGACAUUUCAUUGGUUGACAUUUAGUUUAUAAAAUGACACAAACAUUUUAGAUUAGAGUCUCUGAUGGACAAACAGACAUUACAAAAUUACAUGAUGACUGAUGUUGGAUUUCAGAACGAGAAAUAAUGUUUAUCAAAAUCAAAA